rnacentral:rRNA from 1 species
GUCUUCUUGUUUAAAUAGGAAGUCUGACCUGCCCGGUGAAUUUUAUUUUAACGGCCGCGGUAUUUAUGACCGUGCAAAGGUAGCAUAAUCAUUAGUCUUUUAAUAGGAGGCUGGUAUGAAGGGUUUGACGAGGAGUUGACUGUCUCAUUUAAUUUUGUUUUAGAAUUUAACUUUUCAGUUAAAAGGCUGAAAUUGUGUUGAAAGACGAGAAGACCCUAUAGAGUUUUAUAUUUUUUCUUAUAAUUAUAAAUAAUACUUAAUAUAUAAGGGUGAAUAUUUUGUUGGGGUGACAAAAAUAUAUAAUUAACUUUUUUAUUUAUUUAUCAUUGAUAUAUGUUUAUUAGAUCCAAUUUUAUUGAUUGUUAGAUUAAGUUACCUUAGGGAUAACAGCGUAAUCUUUCUUUGGAGUUCUUAUCUACAGAAAGGCUUGCGACCUCGAUGUUGGAUUAAGAUAAUAGUUAGGUGCAGUAGCUUAAUGUAUAGGUCUGUUCGACCUUUAAAUUCUU